rnacentral:rRNA from 1 species
AGUGAACGCUGGCGGUAGGCCUAACACAUGCAAGUCGAACGGCAGCACAGUAAGAGCUUGCUCUUAUGGGUGGCGAGUGGCGGAUGGGUGAGGAAUACAUCGGAAUCUACUUUUUCGUGGGGGAUAACGGAGGGAAACUGACGCUAAUACCGCAUACGACCUACGGGUGAAAGCAGGGGAUCUUCGGAGCUUGGGCGUUUGAAUGAGCCGAUGUCGGAUUAGCUAGUUGGCGGGGUAACGGCCCACCAAGGCGACGAUCCGUAGCUGGUCUGAGAGGAUGAUCAGCCACACUGGAACUGAGACACGGUCCAGACUCCUACGGGAGGCAGCAGUGGGGAAUAUUGGGCAAUGGGCGCAAGCCUGAUCCAGCCAUACCGCGUGAGUGAAGAAGGCCUUCGGGUUGUAAAGCCCUUUUGUUGGGAAAGAAAAGCUGCAGGUUAAUACGCCGCUGUUCUGACGGUACCCAAAGAAUAAGCACCGGCUAACUUCGUG